rnacentral:rRNA from 1 species
UGGGGAAUAUUGGACAAUUGGCGCAAGCCUGAUCCAGCCAUGCCGCGUGAGUGAUGAAGGCCCUAGGGUUGUAAAGCUCUUUCACCUGUGAAGAUAAUGACGGUAACCGGAGAAGAAGCCCCGGCUAACUUCGUGCCAGCAGCCGCGGUAAUACGAAGGGGGCUAGCGUUGUUCGGAUUUACUGGGCGUAAAGCGCACGUAGGCGGACUAUUAAGUCAGGGGUGAAAUCCCGGGGCUCAACCCCGGAACUGCCUUUGAUACUGGUAGUCUUGAGUUCGAGAGAGGUGAGUGGAAUUCCGAGUGUAGAGGUGAAAUUCGUAGAUAUUCGGAGGAACACCAGUGGCGAAGGCGGCUCACUGGCUCGAUACUGACGCUGAGGUGCGAAAGCGUGGGGAGCAAACAGG